GACGAAGGAUGCAAGCGUUAUCCGGAUUCAUUGGGUUUAAAGGGAGCGUAGGCGGACUUGUAAGUCAGUGGUGAAAUCUGUGGGCUUAACCCACAAACUGCCAUUGAUACUGCAGGUCUAGAGUACAGUUGCCGUUGGCGGAAUAUGACAUGUAGUGGUGAAAUACUUAGAUAUGUCAUAGAACACCGAUUGCGAAGGCAGCUAACGAAGCUGUAACUGACGCUGAGGCUCGAAAAGUGCGGGGAUCAAAACAGG
rnacentral:rRNA from 1 species